GCCCCUGUAGGGCAAUGGAUAGCGCGUUGGACUUGUAAUUCAAAGGUCGUAAGUUAGAAUCUUACCUGGGAUG